UCACAUCACCUCUGUGCAGCUCUGGCCACCCCUGGGCUUUGGACCCAAGAAUUUAAAUCAGGUCUAAGAAUUGGCUCAUAACUACAUUUUGGCAAAAACCACCAAUGUAUUUGACUUCCUUUGAAGUCCUAAAGGCCUAUAAAGGGUAUUCUGGGCAUAUAUUUACCCAGAUCUCUGAAACUAAAGAGAUUGCUGUGAUCAAAAUCCAGUUUUCCUGUGGAACACCCUUUCUGCUUCUCAAAUUCCAUUCUAAAAUGGGAAACCAGAAGGCCAGAAAGACAUUCCUGAUUUAAAUGAGGGUAUUGGACCCCCUGUUCCACGCCUGAAAACUUAACCCUGGGUCAAAUGCAGGAAUCUCUCUCUGCCUGGCCUCUGAGAAGAAUGGCAGGUGCCAGGCACUGGUCCCAUCCUUACAGCCCAGCUGUGUUUGUCGAUGCUUCAUCCUUCCAAGACCUACGUGGGCAUCUGCUCAAGCAGGAUAAACUUCCCUAGAGCUGAGGAAGUUCAGCCUCUCCCAGGCUGCACAGAGAAAGCACAAAGAUCUGGAAAGGAAAAUAAGUGGGCAGCACCAAGAGCUGUUGGAAGCUGAGGGCCAAAGGAUACUCUGGGUCCUUUCGUCAGCGGAAAAGCUGUCUUUACUAGAAAGAGUCCCAAAUUAGCCACAUGAUGAGUCCUUCCCCACGCUGGGCACUGUGGGUUCCAUGAGAUGGGUCUGCACAUUGCAUGGUGAGAGCUCUCUCUAGUAGAGGAUCUGGAGUUGUCAGGUGUGUCCUGGGUUUAAGAGGUGGCUUGACUUUCGAAUGUAAAAUUGACUGUGCCUUAGCAUCACCCUGUCUCUACCCCUGGGGCAGAUGGUGGUGACCAGGAGAAUGGAUGCCUGCUCCAGCUUUAGAUGCCUAUUUGGGCUGUUAUUUGGUUUGGGGUCUUCCUGUCUUCUGCUCAAGUUGGGGGGCAAAGCUAGUGUCCCAGGAGACUUGUGCCACAGCUUGUUCGCAGUUUACACCAUCUCAGCUUUAAAGUUCCAAGUAGAAUCUGAUUGGCAAGUUCCAGCUGCACCAUAGAGAGCUUCUAGAUGUUCACUACCUUGAUAGCUGUCAGUGCCACUGAACCACGGGGAAGAGGAAUAUAGGGGCAGAGCCCUUAUUCUGUUCUUCCUUUUCCUGGGAGAGCAGUGGUCUAAGCCAAGGGGUGAUGAGCCUCCUCUCCUUGCUCCUGCAGAAAGGGGCAGUCAGGGCCCCUAUUAAGCAGGCUUCUAUUUCUUACCACUAAAUUGAUUGCCUUUUUCAUCUAAAAAUUGGAACUCCUCAUAUAUUCAUACUACAGAAGCCAAAUCUGAAUUCUGAGAUUCUAAGAUAUCUUAAACGACGAGAGAAAAUCUAGUUCUGUCCCAUCUCCGAUCGGCAGGCCCUCUGUCCCUUCCUCUCCUCUCGUCAGAUAGCUCCAGCAAGCAAGGCUCCUUGGCUAGUUCCUAAUGCACUGACAGGAGCCAUCCCAUUAAGGACGACUUCUACUCAAAACGUGACCCUCUGGACUUCAGAUGCCUCAUUUGGCAGGAAGAGGCAUUGAUUGGAUUGGAUAUAUUUAUGUGACUGCGGGCAUUCGUGGCUGUAGAGUCCUUGACCAUAAUGUUGUAUGUAAUGGGAACUAUCUUAUAAACUUGAAAAAAUAAAGUUUUUAUUUUCUAUACAGUUUGCUCCUGUCUCUUUUCUGAAUAGGAUCAGCCCAGUUGCCCAGCUGAGUAGGGCUCCAUAUAAAAUCUGAAGAACUCGUUAGAAAGAUGGCACCCUUUCAGUAGCUGGGUCGUUAAUUUCACCAAAAAAUUAAAAACAGAAAAUCUAAGGAUCUGGUAUAAAUAAAUGUUCAUGGGAUAAUAAAAGAUAUUUUAAACUAACUUGCAAGGGAAAGUUUGUCUCAACUGUUUCUAAAAUAUAUUGCUUUUUAAAGUUUAGGUCUAGAAUAAUAGAUUUCAUUUGCUGUCAAAUGUGCUGAAAUUUAUUAAAGAGAGAAGUCAAUACCUUGCUGUGCUGAGCUUAAAAU
ensembl:lncRNA